AGUAAAGCCAGGGUUAUGAAUGAAAUUAUUUUGUGGAUCACUUAGCUUUGUUUUCUUCUUUAGACAGUACAAUGGGUUCCUACACAAUUACAGACAGAUCUGGGCCAGAAAGUGUGGGUGACUCAGAGAAUACCCAUAGAAGGGAAGAAAAAUAUGAAGAAAAGUUUUGCUAUAGGUGAGCCCAAAAUAAUCACAGCAUCUUUACAAAAGAAAGGCAGAAGGUCAGCAUCAGAAGGAAGAAGUGAUGACAAAGGAG
rnacentral:lncRNA from 1 species